rnacentral:rRNA from 1 species
AUUGAACGCUGGCGGCAGGCCUAACACAUGCAAGUCGAGCGAGCGGAGGAAGGGUGAGGAAUGUAGGGGGACUGCCCGAGAGCGGGGGAUAACUACUGGAAACGAUAGAUAAUACCGCAUAACAUCGGAUAACCCAUAUGGGAUUAGCUAGUAGGUGAGGUAAUGGCUCACCUAGGCGACGAUCCGUAGCUGGUCAGAGAGGCUGAUAAGCCACAAUGGGACUGAGCCACGGCCCAGACUCCUACGGAGGCAGCAGUGGGGAAUAUUGCACAAUGGGCGCAAGCCUGAUGCAGCAAUGCCGCGUGUAUGAAGAAGGCCCUAGGAUUGUAAAGUUCUUUCAGUCGAGAGGCGUUACCGACAGAAGAAGCACCGGCUAACUCCGUGCCAGCAGCCGCGGUAAUUC